rnacentral:rRNA from 1 species
CGGCCGCAGUACUCUGACUGUGCUAAGGUAGCAUAAUAAUUUGACUUUUAAUUGGAGUCUGGUAUAAACGGCAUUACAUGGGAGAAAGCUGUCUUUUACUUAUUGGGUGAAAAUUCCCAAAUAUAAACAUAAGACGAGAAGACCCUUAGAAUUAUGUUUUUGUUGGGGCAACAAUGUCAGAGUUGUAUAUGACGUAAACUUUACCUAUGAAGAAUUUAAUUACCUAAGGGAUAACAGCAUAAUUUCUUUUUUUAGAUUGUGACCUCGAUGUUGGACUAGGGACUUCACCUGUUAG